CUUACUCUAAUAUGCAUUUUGUGUGCUCCAAGGACUAUGAUUCCAACAGACCAUAAGUUUUAAUAUAAAAUAUAAUUUUGUUUUUUUACAUAUUUUACAUAUGUAUAUAUAUGACUUUUACAGACCGGGUUUGUGCGUGUGGCGGGUACGGGAUGGAUAUACUGAUACAUUCACAUUAGGCCCAUCUCUUCAGUGACCAUCACUGCGCAGACUGCCAAGAAAUGGGUGAGAAUUUUCCAUCUUCUUCCAAUAACAUUAUUAGAUGCUCACCUGAGUGCCACCAUCUGGAAGAUUUCCCAAAGAGGCAUCACUAAACACCAGUUUCAAGGAGCUGUCUUUUCCCAAGUUCUGAAAUAUGGACGCUUCAGACAGAGGUCUGGGGGCCGUACUCUCGCAGGUGGUGGAGGGGGAGGAGCGCCCGGUGCUGCACAUUAGCCGCAAGCUCUCGCUGAGGGAGACUAAGUACAGCACCGUAGAGGAGUGUCUCGCCAUCAAGUGGGCGGUCCUCACUCUCUGGUACUACCUGUUGGGGCGGGCCUUCACCCUCUGCUGGGAUCACGCCCCACUCACGAGUCGGGCAGUGGGGAUAUAUGGCAGCGGGGCCGUGGUCAA